rnacentral:miRNA from 1 species
CUGGUGAGUCUGGAUGCUGAUG